CUGCCCUUAUAAAACUUUUAUAUCUAAAAUACUUAUUAUAUGGAUAUGACCAUAAAGAAAAAUUUCCAUUAGAUUUUCUUUAUGCUACUUGACUAGCACUUAACCAGUUGGGAACAUCU
ensembl:snoRNA